rnacentral:rRNA from 1 species
GACGAACGCUGGCGGCGUGCUUAACAUAUGCAAGUGGAGCGACGAACCGGGGCUUGCCCCGGGGCAGAGCCGCGAACGGGUGAGUAACACGUGGGUAACCUGCCUCAAUGAUUGGGACAACCCGGGGAAACUCGGGCUAAUACCAAAUGUGUUCACUCCUUCUAAGGGGAGUGAGGAAAGGAAGCUUCGGCCUCCGCAUUGAGAUGGGGCCCGCGGCCCAUUAGCUUGUUGGUGAGGUAACGGCUCACCAAGGCUUCGAUGGGUAGCUGGUCUGAGAGGACGAUCAGCCACACUGGGACUGAGACACGGCCCAGACUCCUACGGGAGGCAGCAGUGGGAAUCUUGCACAAUGCGCGAAAGCGUGAUGCAGCAACGCCGC